UUGGUUUUAUAAGGAUAUAGAACCUUUAUAUGGACAUAUAUGACAUAUAUUUGAGCUAUGCAAAACAAGACAGGAAGACAAUGAAGAAUGAAGGAAUAAGGCAAAGAUGGCAAUGGAUGGGGAAAUAAGAUCCGACGUUCCUCAUUCCGGAGAGGCUGGUGUCUAUUAGACAACCCGGGUUAAAUAAACUGUGGAAAACACCCACGUUAUGUGGAAGUGAGCGCCUCUGCCAAACGCUUUUGUUACAGCCGCUGUAUACAAUGACAGAUUUAUUACGUAUAAGCUUCUGUUAUAGCCCAGUACAUACACUGCUUAUUACCAGCUGCAGAUUGUGACACAUCAUUUUAGUUUUAUAU